UACGAAGGGGGCGAGCGUUGUUCGGAUUUACUGGGCGUAAAGGGCGCGCAGGCGGCUCAUUUUGUCAGGCGUGAAAGCCCCGGGCUUAACCUGGGAACUGCGUUUGAUACGGAUGGGCUAGAGUUCGGGAGAGGAGAGUGGAAUUCCCAGUGUAGCGGUGAAAUGCGCAGAUAUCGGGAAGAACACCCGUGGCGAAGGCGGCUCUCUGGGACGGUACUGACGCUGAGACGCGAAAGCGUGGGGAGCGAACAGG
rnacentral:rRNA from 1 species